rnacentral:rRNA from 1 species
GAUGAACGCUGGCGGCGUGCUUAACACAUGCAAGUCGAACGAAGACAUCUGAGUGCUUGCACUUGGAUGGACUGAGUGGCGGACGGGUGAGUAACGCGUGGGUAACCUGCCUUAUACAGGGGGAUAACAGUUGGAAACGACUGCUAAUACCGCAUAAGCGCACAGUAUCGCAUGAUACAGUGUGAAAAACUCCGGUGGUAUAAGAUGGACCCGCGUCUGAUUAGCUAGUUGGUGAGGUAACGGCCCACCAAGGCGACGAUCAGUAGCCGGCCUGAGAGGGUGAACGGCCACAUUGGGACUGAGACACGGCCCAAACUCCUACGGGAGGCAGCAGUGGGGAAUAUUGCACAAUGGGGGAAACCCUGAUGCAGCGACGCCGCGGGAGUGAGGAAGUAUUUCGGUAUGUAAAACUCUAUCAGCAGGGAAGAUAAUGACGGUAGCCGGAGAAGAAGCCCCGGCUAACUUCGUGCCAGCAGCCGCGGUAACAC